CACGUAGGGCGCGAGCGUUGUCCGGAAUUAUUGGGCGUAAAGAGCUCGUAGGCGGUGUGUCGCGUCGGCCGUGAAAACCUGCAGCUUAACUGUGGGCUUGCGGUCGAUACGGGCAUCACUGGAGUUCGGCAGGGGAGACUGGAAUUCCUGGUGUAGCGGUGAAAUGCGCAGAUAUCAGGAGGAACACCGGUGGCGAAGGCGGGUCUCUGGGCCGAUACUGACGCUGAGACGCGAAAGCGUGGGGAGCGAACAGG
rnacentral:rRNA from 1 species